rnacentral:rRNA from 1 species
CGGACGGGUGAGUAAUGUCUGGGAAACUGCCCGAUGGAGGGGGAUAACUACUGGAAACGGUAGCUAAUACCGCAUAACGUCGCAAGACCAAAGAGGGGGACCUUAGGGCCUCUUGCCAUCGGAUGUGCCCAGAUGGGAUUAGCUAGUAGGUGGGUAAUGGCUCACCUAGGCGACGAUCCCUAGCUGGUCUGAGAGGAUGACCAGCCACACUGGAACUGAGACACGGUCCAG